rnacentral:rRNA from 1 species
UAGUCCACGCCCUAAACGAUGCUAACUCGAUGUUUGGGACUUAGGUUUGAGCAUCCAAGGGAAACCGUUAAGUUAGCCACCUGGGGAGUACGUCGGACAACGAUGAAACUCAAAAGGAAUUGACGGGGGUCCGCGACCAAGCGGUGGAGCAUGUGGUUUAAUUCGAUGAUACGCGAGGAACCUUACCUAGGCUCUAAUGCGAGCGCAAUCUGGUGAAAGCCGGAGUUCCUUCGGGACGCGAAGCAAGGUGCUGCAUGGUUGUCGUCAGCUCGUGCCGUGAGGUGUUGGGUUAAGUCCCGGCAACCGAGCGCAACCCCUAUCGUUAGUUGCCAGCAAGUGAAGUUGGGGACUCUAACGAGACUGCCUACGCAAGUAGUGAGGAAGGCGGGGACGACGUCAAAUCAUCAUGGCCUUUAUGCCUAGGGCGACACACGUGCUACAAUGGUAGGUACAGAGGGUAGCUAAGCCGCGAGGUGGAGCCAAUCCCAGAAAGCCUAUCCCAGUUCGGAUUGGAGUCUGC